rnacentral:rRNA from 1 species
UACGUAGGGGGCUAGCGUUGUCCGGAAUCAUUGGGCGUAAAGCGCGCGUAGGCGGCCAGAUAAGUCCGGUGUGAAAGUCAAAGGCUCAACCUUUGAAUGCCGCUGGAAACUGUUUGGCUCGAGUCCGGGAGGGGCGAGUGGAAUUCCUGGUGUAGCGGUGAAAUGCGCAGAUAUCAGGAGGAACACCUAUUGCGAAGGCAGCUCGCUGGGACGUAACUGACGCUGAGACGCGAAAGCGUGGGGAGCAAACAGG